CGAUGAGGUAGAGGUCGCGGUUGUUAAGAGUAGGAAGUGGAGAGCCAGAGAAUUGCUCAUGGAAACUUACCGAAAGGAACCACCGCCGAAGCUCCACAGAUGCUCUGUCUGUGUGGGCUGGGGCUGUUGCUGAAUAAGCGCAGAACUGUCACGUGUAUGCGAACCGGCAUGGCGUGUUGUGCUAUCUUUUCU
rnacentral:ncRNA from 1 species